rnacentral:tRNA from 1 species
GCCCAGAUAGCUCAGUCAGUAGAGCAUAAGACCUUUAAUCUAAUGGUCCAGGGUUAAAGUCCUUGUUUGGGCA